rnacentral:rRNA from 1 species
GGGUGAGUAACGCGUGGGUAACCUGCCCUCUAGACUGGGACAACAGCUCGAAAGGGCUGCUAAUACCGGAUGUGAUUACCGUACCGCCUGGUAUGGUAAUGAAAGUGCUUAGCGCUAGAGGAUGGACCCGCGUCCCAUUAGCUAGUUGGUGAGGUAACAGCUCACCAAGGCGACGAUGGGUAGCCGGCCUGAGAGGGUGGACGGCCACACUGGGACUGAGACACGGCCCAGACUCCUACGGGAGGCAGCAGUAGGGAAUAUUGCGCAAUGGAGGAAACUCUGACGCAGCGACGCCGCGUGAGCGAUGAAGGUUUUCGGAUCGUAAAGCUCUGUCCUUGGGGAAGAAGGUCUUCGGACUUGACGGUACCCAAGAAGAAAGCCCCGGCUAACUACGUGCCAGCAGCCGCGGUAAUACGUAGGGGGCAAGCGUUGUCCGGAAUUAUUGGGCGUAAAGGGUGCGUAGGCGGCCUUUUAAGUCAGAUGUGAAAGCCCGCGGCUUAACUGCGGGAUUGCAUUUGAAACUGGGAGGCUUGAGUAUCGGAGAGGGUAGUGGAAUUCCCAGUGUAGCGGUGAAAUGCGUAGAUAUUGGGAGGA